ACGAACGCUGGCGGCACGCUUAACACAUGCAAGUCGAACGAGAGAAGAGAAGCUUGCUUUUCUGAUCUAGUGGCGGACGGGUGAGUAACACGUGAGCAAUCUGCCUUUCAGAGGGGGAUACCGAUUGGAAACGAUCGUUAAUACCGCAUAACAUAAUUGAACCGCAUGAUUUGAUUAUCAAAGAUUUAUCGCUGAAAGAUGAGCUCGCGUCUGAUUAGCUAGUUGGUAAGGUAACGGCUUACCAAGGCGACGAUCAGUAGCCGGACUGAGAGGUUGAUCGGCCACAUUGGGACUGAGACACGGCCCAGACUCCUACGGGAGGCAGCAGUGGGGAAUAUUGCACAAUGGAGGAAACUCUGAUGCAGCGAUGCCGCGUGAGGGAAGAAGGUUUUAGGAUUGUAAACCUCUGUCUUCAGGGACGAAAAAUGACGGUACCUGAGGAGGAAGCUCCGGCUAACUACGUGCCAGCAGCCGCGGUAAUACGUAGGGAGCGAGCGUUGUCCGGAAUUACUGGGUGUAAAGGGAGCGUAGGCGGGAUCGCAAGUCAGAUGUGAAAACUAUGGGCUUAACCCAUAAACUGCAUUUGAAACUGUGGUUCUUGAGUGAAGUAGAGGUAAGCGGAAUUCCUAGUGUAGCGGUGAAAUGCGUAGAUAUUAGGAGGAACAUCAGUGGCGAAGGCGGCUUACUGGGCUUUAACUGACGCUGAGGCUCGAAAGCGUGGGGAGCAAACAGGAUUAGAUACCCUGGUAGUCCACGCCGUAAACGAUGAUUACUAGGUGUGGGGGGACUGACCCCUUCCGUGCCGCAGCAAACGCAAUAAGUAAUCCACCUGGGGAGUACGACCGCAAGGUUGAAACUCAAAGGAAUUGACGGGGGCCCGCACAAGCAGUGGAGUAUGUGGAUUAAUUCGAAGCAACGCGAAGAACCUUACCAGGUCGUGACAGCUUAUGCAUAGCUCGGAGAUGGGUGAAAUCUCUUCGGAGACAUAUAGACAGGUGGUGCAUGGUUGUCGUCAGCUCGUGUCGUGAGAUGUUGGGUUAAGUCCCGCAACGAGCGCAACCCUUACUGUUAGUUGCUACGCAAGAGCACUCUAGCAGGACUGCCGUUGACAAAACGGAGGAAGGUGGGGAUGACGUCAAAUCAUCAUGCCCCUUAUGACCUGGGCCUCACACGUACUACAAUGGCUGUCAACAGAGGGAAGCAAAGCCGCGAGGUGGAGCAAACCCCUAAAAGCAGUCUUAGUUCGGAUUGUAGGCUGCAACCCGCCUACAUGAAGUCGGAAUUGCUAGUAAUCGCAGAUCAGCAUGCUGCGGUGAAUACGUUCCCGGGCCUUGUACACACCGCCCGUCACGCCAUGGGAGUCGGUAACACCCGAAGCCUGUAGUCUAACCGCAAGGAGGACGCAGUCGAAGGUGGGAUUGAUGACUGGGGUG
rnacentral:rRNA from 1 species